UAGAGUUUCACAAAUUAUGUACUACUUAUGUUCUUUCUUUAGAUGGUGGAAACAGAGAGACAUAACCUAUCAUUCUAACUCGGGAGUUUGACAAAGUUCAACGAGUAGCUUCUUCCUUCCUUGCAGGACACUUAGAUGUUUUAUAUGUUCAAUGAGUAGCUUCUUCCUUCCUUGCAGGACACUUAAAUGUUUUAUAUGUAGACUCAACCAAGCUUCUUUCUUGCAGUUGUCUCAAUCUCUUUUGGACAAAAGACCAUGUUAUGAUGCUGUUCAAGGGGCAAAUGUGACACCUACUACAUUCUAUAAUAUUGGAGAUCUUGAGAUU
rnacentral:lncRNA from 1 species